rnacentral:rRNA from 1 species
GUGAGGAAUUUUCCGCAAUGGGCGAAAGCCUGACGGAGCAAUGCCGCGUGAAGGAUGAAGGCCUAUGGGUUGUAAACUUCUUUUCUCAGAAAAGAAUUAUGACGGUAUCUGAGGAAUAAGCAUCGGCUAACUCUGUGCCAGCAGCCGCGGUAAGACAGAGGGUGCAAGCGUUAUCCGGAAUGAUUGGGCGUAAAGCGUCUGUAGGUUGUUUAAAAAGUAUUCUGUCAAAGAUUAGGGCUUAACCCUAGAUAGGCAGAAUAAACUUUUAAGCUAGAGUUUGGUAGAGGCAGAGAGAAUUCCCGGUGGAGCGGUGAAAUGCGGAGAAAUCGGGAGGAACACCAAAGGCGAAGGCACUCUGCUGGGCCAAUACUAACACUGAGAGACGAAAGCGAGGGGGGCAAAUGGGAUUAGAUACCCGGGUAGUCC